AUUGAACGCUGGCGGCAGGCCUAACACAUGCACGUCGAACGAGUGGCGGACGGGUGAGUAAUGUCUGGGACACUGCCCGAUGGAGGGGGAUAACUACUGGAAACGGUAGCUAAUACCGCAUACCAUCGGAUGUGCCCAGAUGUGAUUAGCUAGUAGGGGGGGUAACGGCUCACCUAGGCGACGAUCCCUAGCUGUUCUGAGAGGAGGAACAGACAAACUGGAACGGAGACACGGUCAAGACUCCGACGGGAGGCAGCAGUGGGGAAUAUUGCACAAUGGGCGCAAGCCUGAUGAAGACAGGCCGCGUGUAUGAAGAAGGCCUUCGGGUUGUAAAGUACUUUCAGCGAGGAGGCGUUACUCGCAGAAGAAGCACCGGCUAACUCCGUGCCAGCAGCCGCGGUAAUUC
rnacentral:rRNA from 1 species